rnacentral:rRNA from 1 species
CACGUAGGGCGCAAGCGUUGUCCGGAAUUAUUGGGCGUAAAGAGCUCGUAGGCGGUCUGUUGCGUCCGCUGUGAAAACUCGGGGCUUAACCCCGAGCCUGCAGUGGAUACGGGCAGACUAGAGGUAGGUAGGGGAGAAUGGAAUUCCCGGUGUAGCGGUGAAAUGCGCAGAUAUCAGGAGGAACACCGGUGGCGAAGGCGGAUCUCUGGGCCUUACCUGACGCUCAGGUGCGAAAGCUAGGGGAGCGAACAGG